rnacentral:lncRNA from 1 species
ACCCAGAGGAGUACCUUCUUGUUGAUCGCCACGUGUUGGGAGCGGCUAGAGAACGUCACUACAGUAUUCUGCAUGUUAUUCACCAGUUAUUUUUCCUUUCACGUCUGUUAUGCUGAAAGAUUGUAGUCUACUUUGGAAUUCGUUCAAAGGGCACUUUUGGUAUUAACCCAGACCAUGGAAGCAAGGCUGAGAAAAAAAGCAACGAAAGAGAACCCAAAAAUAUUCAGUUUGACGAAAAAAUCAUGGAUUCUGAAUGGAAUGUUUCCAUUUUUGAACACCUAAAAAUGUACAAGAUAGAUCAAACUGUUACAAAGAGAUUAUGAUAAAGUUAUUUAUUGUACCUGGAAUGGACAUAUGCCAAAUGCAGAAUCCAGGUGUGUGGAGA